rnacentral:rRNA from 1 species
CCUACGGGGGGCUGCAGUCGAGAAUCUUUCGCAAUGGGCGAAAGCCUGACGAAGCGACGCCGUGUGUGUGAUGAAGGCCUUCGGGUCGUAAAGCACUUUCGCCUGGGAACAAGAGAGGCAGGCUAAUACCCUGCCGAUUUGAGGGUACCAGGUAAAGAAGCACCGGCUAACUCCGUGCCAGCAGCUGCGGUAAUACGGAGGGUGCAAGCGGUCAUCAGGAGUACUGGGGGUAAAGGGUGAGUAGGCGGUAAAAUCCCGGAGCUUAACUCCGGAACAGCAUUUGAAACUGCCUUUCUAGAGGGUAGGCGGAGAAAACGGAAUUCCACAAGUAGCGGUGAAAUGCGUAGAUAUGUGGAAGAACACCUGUGGCGAAAGCGGUUUUCUAGCUUAUUCCUGACGCUAAUGCGCGAAAGCAAGGGGAGCAAACAGGAUUAGAUACCCCAGUAGUC